AGAAGAAGAUGGAGUUUGCUAAACUCUAAUCUCGAUUGAAACCCAAUCUCCACUGUUUUUAAUUCAUUCCGAGACCGUAACCACCGCGGAACAACACACUCCACACAUCCUUGUUUCCGAGACCAACAGUUGCUCACAUACAAGGAGGAGAUUUGAGGAUUCAGAUGGCAGCAGAUUCAGUUGGAGGGUCGUCACCUGGGAAGAGCUGAGCGCAGCAGACGGAGGAGAGGUACCACCUGCAUCUUGCGCUGGCGUUUAUGGAAAAAUGACGAACGAUAACAACACCCCCCAUUGAUGUCACAACAACUCCACUCAACGUUGCAGCCAUUGAUACAACUGUGACAACCGUUGGAAACAUCACAGCGUCAACCGCUGCAGCAAUAACAAGCACUAUCCUCCUUGCGGGAAAUGCUGCUGAUGAAACCACUCGCCGUAGCCUAUUCGGUGCUUGUCUUUAUCAGACGGGCUCAGUUUCAGCAACCGCAAGUGGUCUGGUGGCAGUUCAAACUCCUCCGGCUGUCCCUAGUGUUUUCACUCAAGGAUUGAUGCCAGACAAGUUUGAUGGCAAAGGCUUCAAAACGUGGCAGAAGAAGAUGAUGUUCUUCCUGACA